rnacentral:lncRNA from 1 species
UUUUUAAAAAAUAAUUUAAAAUUCAUAAAAUUUAAAAAUGAAAAAAACUAAAGGUUUAGGGUUCAUAAAUGGUCCUCAAGAUUAAAAUCCUUCUAUAAAUGAUUUUUUCAUUUAUAAAUAAUUUUAAAAAGAAAACCAAAAUUUUAUGAAUUUUAAAUUAAAAAAUAAAAAAAAUUUCAUAGGGACCAUUUGUGAUAAGUGUGUAAACCUCAGGGAUGUUUUGUGAUAUAUAUGUAUGCCAC